rnacentral:rRNA from 1 species
GGAAUAUUGCACAAUGGGCGAAAGCCUGAUGCAGCGACGCCGCGUGCGGGAUGACGGCCUUCGGGUUGUAACCGCUUUCAGGAGGGACGAAACUGACGGUACCUCCAGAAGAAGCCCCGGCCAACUACGUGCCAGCAGCCGCGGUAACACGUAGGGGGCGAGCGUUGUCCGGAUUUAUUGGGCGUAAAGGGCUCGUAGGUGGUUCAGCAAGUCAACUGUGAAAGUCCGGGGCUCAACCCCGGAACGCCAGUCGAAACUGCUGUGACUAGGGUCCGGUAGAGGUGAGUGGAAUUCUCGGUGUAGCGGUGAAAUGCGCAGAUAUCGAGAGGAACACCAGUAGCGAAGGCGGCUCACUGGGCCGGUACCGACACUGAGGAGCGAAAGCGUGGGGAGGCAAACAGGAUUAGAUACCCUGGUAGUCCACGCCGUAAACGUUGAACACUAGUGUGGCGGACUUAUCCACGUCUGCCGUGCCGCAGCUAACGCAUUAAGUGUUCCGCCUGGGGAGUA